AGGGUGCGCAGGCGGACUAUUAAGUCAGUGGUGAAAUCCCGGGGCUCAACCCCGGAACUGCCWUUGAUACUGUUAGUCUUGAAUACGGUUGAAGUAGGCGGAAUGUAGCAUGUAGCGGUGAAAUGCAUAGAGAUGCUACAGAACACCGAUCGCGAAGGCAGCUUACUAAGCCGAUAUUGACGCUCAGGCACGAAAGCGUGGGGAGCGAACAGGAUUAGAUACCCUGGUAGUCCACGCCGUAAACUAUGAUCACUCGUUGUUGGCAAUACACAGUCAGUGACUAAGCGAAAGCGAUAAGUGAUCCACCUGGGGAGUACGAUCGCAAGGUUGA
rnacentral:rRNA from 1 species